rnacentral:rRNA from 1 species
GCGAAAGGUAGCAUACCGAGCCUAGGGGCGCACGGGUGAGUAAUCGUGUGGGUAAUCUGCCUUUCAGGUACGGGAAUAACUCAGGCGAAAGCUUGGCUAAUACCGCGUAUGAUCACUGACUUACGGAGUCAGUGAUAAGAUGCCUCUGCUUCAAGCUAUCGCCUGAAGGAUGAGCUCACAUCCGUAUCUACGCUAGUUGGUGAGGUAAAUGGCUCACCAAGGCGACGAUCGGGUAGCCUGGUCCUGAGAGGAUGAUCAGCCACACUGGACUGAGACACGGUCCCAGACUCCUACGGGAGGCAGCAGUGGGGAAUGUUUGGACAAUGGGCGAAAGCCUGAUCCAGCAACUGCCGCGUGGAGUGAUGAAGGCCCUUAGCGGUCGUAAAGCUCCUGUCGAUCGGGACGAACUCCUGCGAAUGAAUAAUUCCGAUACAGUACCGGUGGAGAAUAAGCUCCGGCUAACUCCGUGCCAGCAGCCGCGGUAAUACGGAGGGGAGCUAGCGUUACUCGGAAUUACUGGGCGUAAAGCGCACGUAGGGGCCUAUUGUAAGUCAGCGGUGAAAGCCCGGGCUCAACUCCGUGAAUUGCAGCUUAUACUGCAUCGCUAGAAUUCGGGAGAGGUAAGAUGGAAUUCCGAGUGUAGAGGUGAAAUUCGUAGAUAUCGGAAGAACACCAGUGGCGAAGGCGAUCUUACUGGACGAUAUUGACGUUGAGGUGCGAAAGCAGGGGGAGCAAACAGGAUUAGAUACCCUGGCUAGUCCCUGGCCGUAAACGAUGAUGACUAGCUGUCGGGGCGCUAGCGUUUCCGGUCGUGGCCGAGCUUAACGCGUAAGUGCAAUCCGCCGGGGGAGUACGGUCCGCAAGGCUUAAACUCAAAGGAAUUGACGGGGGCCUGCACAAGCGGUGGAGCAUGUGGUUAAUUCGAAUGCAACGCGCAGAACCUUACCAGCGGUUUGACAUGGUAUCUGAAACGGUUCCAGAGAUGGAUUCCUUCCCUUAGAGAUCGACAGGUACAGGUGCUGCAUGGCUGUCGUCAGCUUCGUGUCGUGAGAUGUUGGGUUAAGUCCCGCAACGAGCGCAACCCUUCGCUCUUAGUUGCUACACAUUUAGUUGAGGCACUCUAAGGAACUGCCUGGUGAUAAGCCGGAGGAAGGUGGGGAUGACGUCAAGUCAUCAUGGCCUUACGCGCCGGGGCUACACACGUGCUACAAUGGCUGGUGACAGAAGGGCCGCAAAGCCGCGAAGGGUGAGCUAAUCUCCAUAAAGCCAGUCCUCAGUUCGGAUUGUUCAGUCUGCAACUCGACGAGCAUGAAGGCGGAAUCGCUAGUAAUCGCGGAUCAGCACGCCGCGGUGAAUACGUUCCCAGGCCUUGUACACACCGCCCGUCACACCAUGGAAGUGGAUUGUACCCGAAGGUGGCCUGAGUCUAACCCUCUGGGAGAGGAGGCCAACCACGGUCGGUUCAGCGACUGGGGUG